rnacentral:rRNA from 1 species
AUUGAACGCUGGCGGAAUGCUUUACACAUGCAAGUCGAGCGGCAGCGCGGGGCAACCUGGCGGCGAGCGGCGAACGGGUGAGUAAUGCAUCGGAACAUGUCCAUGUCGUGGGGGAUAGCCCGGCGAAAGCCGGAUUAAUACCGCAUACGCCCGAGAGGGGAAAGUGGGGGACCGCAAGGCCUCACGCGAUUGGGUUGGCCGAUGUCCGAUUAGCUUGUUGGUGAGGUAAAGGCUUACCAAGGCGAUGAUCGGUAGCUGGUCUGAGAGGAUGAUCAGCCACACUGGGACUGAGACACGGCCCAGACUCCUACGGGAGGCAGCAGUGGGGAAUUUUGGACAAUGGGGGCAACCCUGAUCCAGCCAUUCCGCGUGAGUGAAGAAGGCCUUCGGGUUGUAAAGCUCUUUUGUCCGGAGCGAAACGGUUACGGUGACUAUCCGUGACUACUGACGGUACCGGAAGAAUAAGCACCGGCUAACUACGUGCCAGCAGCCGCGGUAAUACGUAGGGUGCGAGCGUUAAUCGGAAUUACUGGGCGUAAAGCGUGCGCAGGCGGUUUUGUAAGCCAGAUGUGAAAUCCCCGGGCUUAACCUGGGAAUGGCAUUUGGGACUGCAAGGCUGG